UACGGAGGGGGCUAGCGUUGUUCGGAAUUACUGGGCGUAAAGCGCGCGUAGGCGGCUUUGUAAGUUAGAGGUGAAAGCCCGGGGCUCAACCCCGGAACUGCCUUUAAGACUGCAUCGCUUGAAUCCGGGAGAGGUGAGUGGAAUUCCGAGUGUAGAGGUGAAAUUCGUAGAUAUUCGGAAGAACACCAGUGGCGAAGGCGGCUCACUGGCCUGGUAUUGACGCUGAGGUGCGAAAGCGUGGGGAGCAAACAGG
rnacentral:rRNA from 1 species